GGUUGCUUGAUAUCAUGCUGAGUAUGAAGUGGUAUGUCAAAAACAGUGGGUAAAACCCCGGAUUUCUUUUCCAAUCUGUGUAUGUUGUUUGAACCUUGUCCACUGACAUAAAUGUGGCCAUAGUCAUCAGAACAUAUGUCAGUGGGUGUAUCAAUAGUGGCAAUGCUACACGUUUCUUUAAUAGGCGUACCGACAAAGAUGUUGUUUUGGCCGGCUAUACAGGAAUAGAACAAUCAUUUGUUGUAUGGAACUUAACAACAUCAAAUCCUUUAGUAUACGAUGAAACUAUA
rnacentral:lncRNA from 1 species